rnacentral:lncRNA from 1 species
CUCUUCUCUCUCUAAGUUAAACUUAGAGAGAGAAGCUCUCCCUUCUCUCUAAAAAAGGUGGCGGCCGGAGCUGAUAAGGAGGUGGCGGCCGGUUUCCGGCGGCGGCGCCACCGCGUCGGAAUUUUUUUUAUUUUUUUUUUUCAAAAUUUUUAUACCAAAAGCUUCGUUUCCUCCUCCUCUACACAAAUCCGGCACUAGUUUUAGCGAGAAAGGUUCGGUUCGGACUAGAUCUACAUUUUUCUUUGAAAAUUUUUUCACACUUUUUUUUUAAAAAAAAACCACGGAUCUAUAUAUCCUUUUUGCUCUAGUGUCCGAAUACGGCCUUAGAAUAUUCAAAAUCCGAACGUACAAGCCUAGAUCUACCGAUACAUAUCCGUAACAAACUUUUUCACAUGUUUAUUCAAGCACAAAAACGCGGAAAUGGCCUAGAAAGCGAAGAAAACGCGUUACCUUCGUCGUUGAAACGAAAAAAAAUCCGAGCCUCUUCUCUUCCUCCCCGCGCGCGCGCGUGUGGCUCCGGUGGUGCCGCUUUUGCUCGAAAAUCCGGUACGUUUUUUGUGUUGAUGUGAUGUUUCGCGGUGGUUUCGAGUGAAUCCGGUUCGGAUUUGUUAUUUUGUGAAGAUUUGUUCUUGGUGUUCUUGGAGAAUUUUUGGUGAUUUUCUGUUUUGGAUCUAACUGAUUUUGGAGAGAGAAAGAAAUUUCUGAUUUUGUGAUGUGACUGAUUCUCUUUUUUUUAUUUGGAUCUGACACAUCUAUUUAUAGCCUGCCAUGUGUAUUUGUGGGCCAAUGAGGAAAUGCCAUCUGGACCGGGACUGAAGUGUGCGAAAAUUCUGGACAAAAAUGCCCCUGGGACCUUUUCUGCAAAAAAAAAAAAAAAAAAAAAAGGACUGGACAACAAUUAAAAAUGGACAAAAAAUAAAAAUUAAAAAGUUUUGGACUAAAUUGUGAUUUAAAAAUAAAAUUGAACUAAAAAAAGUAAUUUUGACAAACGUAAAGUGAAACUAAAAUUAAAAUCAACAAAAGGACUAAAACGAACCAAUUACAAAAAUGAGGUAUUUUAAAAUACCUCUCUGCCGAAAUUUUAACAGGAAAAGACCAAAAUGCCCCUAGGGACUAAACUGACUCAGACUGACUCAGAUGCAAUUUUUUUGAAAUGAUUUUUAAACAAAGAC